UGUUUGACUGUGGGGCCGCUUUCCAAGGUACAUCUUUAAAUGAUCAGCUGUUACAGGGGCCGGAUCUCACCAGUACAUUGCUAGGAGUCAUCACCAGAUUUAGACAAGAGCCAGUAGCACUUGUAGCUGACAUUGAAGCUAUGUUUCACCAGGUGAAGGUGCCUCCAGAAGACUCAGACCUUCUCAGAUUCCUUUGGUGGCCGAAAGGUGACAUCUCCCAAGGCCUGGUUGAACACAGAAUGGUUGUGCAUCUCUUUGGUGCAACCUCUUCUCCAAGUUGUGCCAGCUUUGCACUAAGAAAGUGCAUGGAAGACAACAGACCUCAUUUCAAAAAGGAAGUAGUUGAUAUGGUCCAGCACAACUUCUAUGUAGAUGAUUUUCUUGGGUCUGUUCCAAAAGAAGAAUGUGCCGUCUCUGUGUACCAUGAUCUUCGCAACAUCUGUGGUAAUGGAGGGUUUAGAUUAACCAAGUGGCUGAGCAACAGUCGUGCUGUACUUGCCAAAAUUCCUAAGGAAGAAAGGGCUGAAGAACUGAGAGACUUUGACUUGGAUCAAGACGAGCUCCCAGUAGAAAGGGCCCUAGGUGUUACAUGGUGUACACAAUCGGAUGUGUUUAAGUUCAAGACUAUCAUACAGGAACGACCAUUGAGCAGAAGAGGAAUUCUGGCAACUGUCAGCUCUAUCUAUGAUCCCCUUGGAAUUGUAGCUCCUGUUGUCCUGCAGGCUAAGAAGAUUCUUCAAGAUCUCUGCAGAAUGAAGAUAGGCUGGGAUGAGGUCAUUCCAGAUAACCUCGCAUGUCAAUGGCAGGUUUGGCUGAAAGAGCUCCAUCUACUGGAAAGCUUUGAGACAGACAGAUGCUUCAAGCCUAAAGACUUUGGAGUGAACACUUUUGCACAGCUGCAUCAUUUUUCUGAUGCAAGUGAAGAUGGCUACGGCACUGUAAGUUACCUCUUGCUGAGAAACAGCUCUGGUCAAGCCCACUGUGCAUUUGUCAUGGGUAAAUCCCGCAUUGCCCCACUGAAGACGGUAUCAAUCCCACGCAUGGAACUCACUGCAGCCACUAUGGCAGGAAGGAUGGAUGCUAUGCUAAAGCGGGAACUGAAGUUAAAGCUUGAAAAUUCAAUUUUUUGGACAGACAGUACUGCAGUCCUGAAGUACAUUAACAACAAAACAACAAGGUUUCGAAGUUUUGUAGCAAACCGUGUAUCAUCUAUCCUGAAGGUUUCAGAGGCAUCCCAGUGGAGAUACAUCAGCAGUGCCAUGAACCCAGCUGACUAUGCAUCCAGGGGCUUGAAGGUGGAUUCAUUUCUCCAAAAGAAAGCAUGGAUAAAAGGACCAGACUUCCUGAAAGGGACAGAGAGUGACUGGCCAGAGAACCCAAAAUACUC
rnacentral:lncRNA from 1 species